rnacentral:rRNA from 1 species
UGAGUAACCUGCCCUUAACUCUGGGAUAAGCCUGGGAAACUGGGUCUAAUACCGGAUAUGACUCCUCAUCGCAUGGUGGGGGGUGGAGAGCUUUUUGUGGUUUUGGAUGGACUCGCGGCCUAUCAGCUUGUUGGUGAGGUAAUGGCUCACCAAGGCGACGACGGGUAGCCGGCCUGAGAGGGUGACCGGCCACACUGGGACUGAGACACGGCCCAGACUCCUACGGGAGCAG